rnacentral:tRNA from 1 species
GGGGAUUUAGUUCAGUGGCAUGAGUGCCUGCCUGGCAAGCAUGAGGUCAUGAGUUCGAUCCCCAGUAUCGCCA